rnacentral:rRNA from 1 species
GAGAAAUCGGCGCUAAUACCUCAUAAUGCAGCGGAUCCGCAUGGAUAUGUUGUUAAAGGUUUACCGCCUUGGGAUAGGCUUGCGUCUGAUUAGCUAGUUGGUGUGGUAACGGCACACCAAGGCUACGAUCAGUAACUGGUCUGAGAGGAUGAUCAGUCACACUGGAACUGAGACACGGUCCAGACUCCUACGGGAGGCAGCAGUGAGGAAUAUUGGGCAAUGCUCGAAAGAGUGACCCAGCAACGCCGCGUGGAGGAUGAAGGUAUUCUAUAUCGUAAACUCCUGUGAGAGCAGACGAAAGACAGAUUAUUAAUCUGGAUGACUGUAUGCUCAGAGGAAGCCCCGGCUAACUACGUG